rnacentral:rRNA from 1 species
UGGGGAAUAUUGGACAAUGGGCGCAAGCCUGAUCCAGCCAUGCCGCGUGUGUGAAGAAGGCCUUUUGGUUGUAAAGCACUUUAAGCGAGGAGGAGGCUACUUGGAUUAAUACUCUAGGAUAGUGGACGUUACUCGCAGAAUAAGCACCGGCUAACUCUGUGCCAGCAGCAGCGGUAAUACAGAGGGUGCGAGCGUUAAUCGGAUUUACUGGGCGUAGAGCGUGCGUAGGCGGCUUUUUAAGUCGGAUGUGAAAUCCCUGAGCUUAACUUAGGAAUUGCAUUCGAUACUGGGAAGCUAGAGUAUGGGAGAGGAUGGUAGAAUUCCAGGUGUAGCGGUGAAAUGCGUAGAGAUCUGGAGGAAUACCGAUGGCGAAGGCAGCCAUCUGGCCUAAUACUGACGCUGAGGUACGAAAGCAUGGGGAGCAAACAGG